rnacentral:rRNA from 1 species
CCCUUAGAUGUUCUGGGCCGCACGCGCGCUACACUGACUACUUCAACGAGUUGUUUCCUUGAUCGAAAGGUCUGGGUAAUCUUUGAAAGGUAGUCGUGAUGGGGAUAGAUCCUUGCAAUUUUUGAUCUUCAACGAGGAAUUCCUAGUAAACGCAAGUCAUCAGCUUGCAUUGAUUACGUCCCUGCCCUUUGUACACACCGCCCGUCGCACCUACCGAUUGAAUGGUCCGGUGAAUCUUUAGGACUGUGGCUGAGGCCGUGCCUUGUGCGGGUCUGGCCGUGGGAAUUUAGUUAAACCUUACCAUUUAGAGGAAGGUGAAGUCGUAACA